rnacentral:tRNA from 1 species
GAGUGCUGGCGUAGUGGGAGCACACUCACCUUUGAGGUGAGAAGUCCCGAGUUCAAGCCUUGGGUGUGUCG